UGCUCUAGCCAUGCCGCGUGAGUGAUGAAUGCCUUAGGGUCGUACAGCUCUUUCGCCUGUGAUGAUAAUGACAGUAGCAGGUAAAGAAACCCCGGCUAACUCCGUGCCAGCAGCCGCGGUAAUACGGAGGGGGUUAGCGUUGUUCGGAAUUACUGGGCGUAAAGCGCGCGUAGGCGGAUUAGAAAGUUGGGGGUGAAAUCCCGGGGCUCAACCCCGGAACUGCCUCCAAAACUGCUAGUCUAGAGUUCGAGAGAGGUGAGUGGAAUUCCGAGUGUAGAGGUGAAAUUCGUAGAUAUUCGGAGGAACACCAGUGGCGAAGGCGGCUCACUGGCUCGAUACUGACGCUGAGGUGCGAAAGUGUGGGGAGCAAACAGGAUUAGAUACCCUGGUAGUCCACACCGUAAACGAUGAAUGCCAGUCGUCGGGUAGUAUACUAUUCGGUGACACACCUAACGGAUUAAGCAUUCCGCCUGGGGAGUACGGUCGCAAGAUUAAAACU
rnacentral:rRNA from 1 species